rnacentral:rRNA from 1 species
UAUCGGGAAGAACACCAGUGGCGAAGGCGCUCUGCUGGGCCAUCACUGACGCUCAUGGACGAAAGCCAGGGGAGCGAAAGGGAUUAGAUACCCCUGUAGUCCUGGCCGUAAACGAUGAACACUAGGUGUCGGGGGAAUCGACCCCCUCGGUGUCGUAGCCAACGCGUUAAGUGUUCCGCCUGGGGAGUACGCACGCAAGUGUGAAACUCAAAGGAAUUGACGGGGGCCCGCACAAGCGGUGGAGUAUGUGGUUUAAUUCGAUGCAACGCGAAGAACCUUACCAGGGUUUGACAUCCUGCGAAUCUCUUGGAAACAGGAGAGUGCCUUCGGGAACGCAGUGACAGGUGGUGCAUGGCUGUCGUCAGCUCGUGUCGUGAGAUGUUGGGUUAAGUCCCGCAACGAGCGCAACCCACGUCUUUAGUUGCCAGCAUUUAGUUGGGCACUCUAGAGAGACUGCCGGUGAUAAACCGGAGGAAGGUGUGGAUGACGUCAAGUCAUCAUGCCCCUUACAUCCUGGGCUACACACGUACUACAAUGCUACGGACAAAGGGCAGCAAGUUCGCGAGGACAAGCAAAUCCCAUAAACCGUGGCUCAGUUCAGAUCGUAGGCUGCAACUCGCCUACGUGAAGGCGGAAUCGCUAGUAAUCGCAGGUCAGCAUACUGCGGUGAAUACGUUCCCGGGCCUUGUACACACCGCCCGUCACACCAUGGAAGUUGGCCACGCCCGAAGCCGUUACUCCAACCCUUGUGGAGGAGGACGUCGAAGGUGGGGCUGAUGACUGGGGUGAAGUCGUAACAAGGUAACGC